AUUGAACGCUGGCGGCAGGCCUAACACAUGCAAGUCGAGCGGAUGAGAGGAGCUUGCUUCUCGAUUCAGCGGCGGACGGGUGAGUAAUGCCUAGGAAUCUGCCUGGUAGUGGGGGACAACGUUUCGAAAGGAACGCUAAUACCGCAUACGUCCUACGGGAGAAAGCAGGGGACCUUCGGGCCUUGCGCUAUCAGAUGAGCCUAGGUCGGAUUAGCUAGUUGGUGAGGUAAUGGCUCACCAAGGCGACGAUCCGUAACUGGUCUGAGAGGAUGAUCAGUCACACUGGAACUGAGACACGGUCCAGACUCCUACGGGAGGCAGCAGUGGGGAAUAUUGGACAAUGGGCGAAAGCCUGAUCCAGCCAUGCCGCGUGUGUGAAGAAGGUCUUCGGAUUGUAAAGCACUUUAAGUUGGGAGGAAGGGUUGUAGAUUAAUACUCUGCAAUUUUGACGUUACCGACAGAAUAAGCACCGGCUAACUCUGUGCCAGCAGCCGCAGUAAAAC
rnacentral:rRNA from 1 species